rnacentral:rRNA from 1 species
UUUUCGCCAGUCCUGUAAUUCCAUACUUAGAUGUCCGUCUAUAUCAGAUGGGCGUCUAAGUUACCAAUUCUCGUCUGAUGGCUACAUACGGCGGUCAGUUUACGCUUACAAAACGAUAGUGGCUCAGGCUCUCAUUUUUCAGCGUUCCCCAGAAGCUUUCCAUCGGAGCGUUGUCGUAACAGUUACCUUUACCCAUAGAGGCGGAUAUAAGGGGAAUGCCGGCAGAGCAGCGGCUUGCUGAACGUCAGCGAAAAACGAAACCGCUGUUGAAAUCCCUGGAAAGCUGGUUGCGUGAAAAGAUGAAGACCCUGUUCU